GCCCGACCUAGUUUCUUCAGCGGAGAUCCUGAGGAGAGAGGAGACUGAGAAGGCCGCGACCGAGGAGGACAAUUAGGACCCUGGUCCGAGCCACCAGGACACUCUCCUUGAGGACUGCAGUAGCCCCCCACUGGCCCACUUCUGCACUCCUGACCCACUGCAUGUAUUCCUCACACAGUAAUGGAAUCAUCGUAAAAACAAGUGUUGACUCAAUGCUACACAGAAAAUUCCAGGAAACCAUCUCCAUAGGGGAGCCAAUAAGGCCUACUACCAGUUACCUUCUUUCCAUAGACAGUAGCAAGAUGUUUUGGGGAU